AGCUGGAGAAGCGAACUUGCCCCUCUCUUCAGCAGAGUGGUCAACCUCCGCUCCUCUCCCGGGCCUCUGGCUCAGGAGGGAGGCUUGCUGCAGACCCCUUCCCUUCCCUCUGGAGCCCCUAAAGAUGAGCCCAGGAACCUCAGUGCAAUAGUGUUCAGCUCUUCUCUGCUAAGGACCUCGGGGUAGAUCUGCUUCAGGCUUCCCCAACAAACACUGCCCCUGUGCUGGCCGUGGCCAGAGAGCAGGGCCAUACUAAGGCUUGAGAGGAGAUCUAGCUGGGGGAUGUUUGAUUAAAAGCUGCUGUAAUUUAUCACACCUAAAGCGUAAUUUGGCUGCAGAGUAUUUUUAUUUAUUUUUUUUAAAGAGGGGGGUAAAUCGCAAUUGUAAGUAUGGGGCAUUAGAGAAACCCAACACUGUGAUGUGACACUCAGAUAUGAUCCUAGGUUUCUGUGUUAGUGUAUUAAACAAAUGAGGGAACAAAGGUCAGCUUUUGGUCAUGCUUAAUUCCCGAUGUGUUCUUUUAGGAUACUGUUCAUGAAAAUUGUACAGCUUAAUCAGCAGCCAGCUUAAUGCUGGGAACAGACCUCACGAUUUUAAGCCUGAUUCUGAAAGGAUGGGAACGGCCUUUCAAAUGAAUAAUGGGAAAUCUGAGGGAGUUAACGGGAGUCACAGUGUUCAAUCAUGGCAGGAAUCGUAUAUGUUUUUGGGUGACAGAUUUGAAUCCUCUGUGUUUCUUUCCAUUGUUGAUCCAAUCCAGAUUUAAUGAAACGUGUUUGAUGUUAUCUUGACGGGUCUGUUCUAUGGUCGCCAUGGUUGCAAAUAUUUAACAUCAACUGCUCAAUCGAUAUGUUUGUGCUCAUAACUAAUUCCCAAUCGUACAAGACCGGAUCCAUUUGUAGGUUUGGUCUGCUCAGUGUCGUAUGCGAGUGCGAUUGAAAAAUUAUGAGGUCUGUUCCAAGCCUAAGUUGUCUGUUCCUAGACUGCUACUCUUUGUUCCAAUUUAAGUCGCCCAUCUAUUUCAGCAAUCACUAUUUCAAACUAAUGUUUCAAACUGUAGGACAGAAAUUAUAAGCUAUUUCGGUUUCCUUUUAAGUUACGACACUGUUACAGCUGAGUGGUCUUUUUUUAGUCUUCUCAUGGGUAUUUAUUGUUUCAUUGCUCUUUUUCAGAAAUGGAAUAUAUUCUGAAUUUACAAAAACAAGAUCCAAAAAGAAUCGUCCUCUACAGAGACACAAAGGACGGACCCAAACAGUGAAGUGACAACCUGGAUAACACUAAAACGUCUUCAGCUGGGACACUGCUGCUGCUGGCAGAAAUGAAAUGAAACAAAAACAAACAAAAAAAAACCCAUCAACAACAAAGUGGAGUACAUGCUGUGUGAAAGGGACAUGGAUACUCUUGCUAAACAAAAACAUUGUUGAUUUUGAGCUGAAUCUUUAGAGUGUGAUGGAGAAGCUGUGUGGGAAAGUUGUCCACACAGACCAAUGUGUGGUUAGUCAGCAAUAGCAAAAUGUGUGGGGAAAGGGGGGAUAAGGAGGCAGCCUGAAGAAACUGCGAGACAAUCGGUGAAAUGGAUGACUUGAGUGGCGCGGUUGUUCCUCCUUAUUCUCCUCAACAAAGCUUGAUAGAAGUGGUCAGAAAUGCUGUCUGUUGUCAGUGGAAGAAGCAGUCAAAUGAGACUGCGGAUGGUGUGUCCUUAAUUUCCAAAAAACAAAAAAAUAACAAAAAAAUGUGCUCUGGACAACAGCAUACAUACACACACACACAUAAACACAAACACACACACACACACACACACACACACCUACACGCACAUAAACACUUUCUGAACAAAGAAAUACCGUUAUUGUCAAGGCGCUCAGCUGAAGCCUCUGAGUCUCAUAAACUGAGGGGGGAGAUGCUUCAGACUCGUCCCGUCACUGCUUCCUCUGAGGGAAAGAGGAGUUGCAGUCCUUUAGAUGCCUCUAUUUUUUUUUCCAGUGCGAAUUCAGACCGUUCAGAAGACUCCUGAACUGUUCGGACGCGUCCUGGAAUUUGUGCAGACGUACAGACUGGGAGACGCGAGUGUCUCAAAUGACUGCCCUCAUGACAUUGAGUGGGAGGGGGAGAGAGGGCAAACACUGACGUCGGAGGGAAUAUGUGUCUUGCUUGAGAUUCAGGUUAAUCUGAGAAAACGGAUAGUUUAGAUGUCUUGGGAGACAACAAAUUACUCUAAGCCUUGUGGGCGCAAAUAAUUGUCUUAAUGUUAGUUUCUGACUAAGAUGGGGGUCCUACAUUUGUUGGUAAACACUAAACUGAAGUUUUUCUUUGUUUCGCUUUCUUUGUUUGUUAGCCUGCCUGUUCUUUUUUUGUCAUGGACAAGGAGAAUAUUCUUGUGGAUAUCCAGAAAGCACGACAGAUCGAAGUCCAAAUCGGACCCCCAUCCCCUCCCAGGUCUCCUUCAUGGGCAAGCACAGUAUGUCGCCGUCAUUCUCCCAUUGGAAAGAUCUCAAAGUGCUAUUGUUUCAGUUGUCUUAUCAAUGGCUCUCUGAUACCACCAGACAGACGUUCCUGCCGCACAACAUGUCGCUGUGGUAAUGGUGACAAAGCCUAUGCUGUUUUAUUUGCGUUAUUUUUUUUUUUCCUUGUCUAUGUGGGAUUCUGUUCACAUUGUAUGGACUCUUUGCUUCUCUACGAAAUCAGAAUCAACUUGAUGCUGUGUUGUAUGUUCAGAAUUUUGUUUACCCAGAUACUCAGAAAGGUGUAUUUCCUACGUUUUUAUGUUAGGCUGUCUUAUGUUUUUGUAUGUCUCACAUUAUAUGCAGAAUUGAUUUGAUUCUUUCCUGGUCUUAUAGAGCUGCUGCUUAGACUCAGUUGCUUCAAUAUUUUUCUUUUCUCCAAGUAAUUUUGCACAGAGAGAGCAGCAGCAACUACUGUUGAGUUUAGGGAGGCUUAGAGCAUGAGAUCAGGGGCUACUCUUUCGAAAGCCUGAAGUUGAUGAGUGACUGUCUGUAUGUAUGGGGAAGGGUGUUUCUUCGGAAGCCUUAGUUCCUGUGUUCAGCCUGCUGCUGGGGUGUUUAUCACAGCAGACAGACAGGACUUUAUUUUUGUCACCCAUCUUUUGAUUGGCCUGUGUAUCCUCGGUUGACUGUGUGCUCCUCCCCCUUUCCUCUGCUGUCCUCGUAGGAUAGGUUAAUGUUCAAAGGUCUUCCCUCUUGGAAAAAGAAGAGAGAAAAAAAAAUCAAUUCAGUGUUUCUCAGUUAAGUAAUAUCAAAGAAUGAAUACUAAAACCUUUUCUCUAUCUUUCUCUCCCUCCCUUACCCAUUAAGUUAAUUGAGUAUAAGAAAUUAUUAGCACUUUAUCUAAUUUUUAACUUCCGUUGCCGUUUUAAUAAAUAGACAUAUCACUACGUGAUGGAAACAGUUCUAGAGAAUAAAAUAUACUAACUUAACAGUAGCCUCUGGCUGGCUGUGCUUUAAAGCAUAUAAACAUUAAAACAAGUCACUCAGGUAGGCUUAGGACGUUAUUGUAAUUUAACUUAAAUUUACCACCAGUGUUAUUGCCCAAACUGAAAACAAUAUCCACAGCGCCUCUCUUUUACUGUCUUCUUCCUUGUCUUCAACUGCAACUGCUUGAGGCCAAGCUCUCGUAUUAUUUGGAAUUUGAGAGGUGAAACUUGGUUUAGUCCUCUCUCUUUGUGCUUUGGUCCCAGCUUUACACUGCUGUGUUGGGAGAGAAGAAACAUGGGCUGUUUUUCAACUUUUUGCUUUUAAUGGCGUCAUGAUGUUUGUGUCUUGGUAAUGUCAGUAAAAGUGGGAUGAAGAGGUAAAUUGAAGCCUGAUUAAUCCAUGCUAUUUUAACUGUUAAAUGCGUUUAUGAUGGCCUCUCACCAACACUGUGUUGACCUCCCCACUUUUUGACCCUUGUCCCUCAGCCUCCCCUGGCGACCCAGCUGACCUGCUUUGACACACAGGCUGGGUCGGAUCAUGUGUGUGUUAUAUGUUGGGCAUGCUGCUCUCAGAUAAGGGUGUAGCCUUACCUCGACUAUGUGAGUUUAGGAGUUUUAGUUUGUAUCCAUAUAUUUCUAUUACUGGUUUCACACAUUUGAAUAACAGUUAUGUCGUUAGUGUUAUAAGCUUAUGUGAAACUGUUCUAAACUUGCAGUCUUUGUUCAAGUUUGACUUGCAUCCAGGAAGGAGGCCCUUGUCAGUUUUCAGUCAUGCACCACAUGAUCAGUCUGUUUUUCUGUUUCCAGGGAGUUCAUAAGUAGUUCACUGCUGUUACUUCCCCCCCCCCCUGAUGCGCUGUUGUAGGCUAUCUAAUUUUCAGACAAAGGGAUUUCAACCUGUAUCUUUUCAUGUCACAUUUCCCCCCAUCAAAACGCACUAUUUUAAGUAGCAUGACAUUGCAAUUCUUGGUUUUAUUUAAUGCUUUUUUUUUUUUCAUUUUUGUUAUAACUUCAGCUUUUUCCUCAUUUUAAACUGAAAACUAACGUCCAAAGAGCUGUUCCAUGCUGUGUAGAGAAGGCACUUGUUGGGCUCUUCUCGAUUUUUUUUGUUUGUUUUUUUUUGUUUGUUUGUUUUCUUCUUUUGAAACUUAGCAGUUGUUUAAAAUGUAAACCUGUCUCAACAGUUUCUGUCAAAGCGGGAAUUGACUCAUUGGUUGUAGUGUUAAUUUACUUUGUGCAAGGUUCUAUCAGAUAUGACCACGUUCUCCUAGAAUCGUGCAGAAUGGGACUGUUGUCUCGUUAAUGUUCUCUUUCUUUUGGUUGUUGGAAAAAAAAACAAUGGACCUGAGGACAGUAAUAACAGCUGACAGUAUGGACUUGCACCUCAAAAAAAAAAAAAAAAAAAAAAAAAAAUCGUCUGUCACAAAAGACUCUAAUUUUGUGCGUACCUAUAUGCGAAAAAACCUCUGCCUGUCCCACAUGCCCUUUAUAUGUACGUCACUUUAGAACUAAAUGAGUGGGGACUCUGGACCUCUUGAGUUGGUGGCUCCAUGAGGGGGCCUUCCUAUGGCGUGCCCAGACACAUUCUUUGUGCACAGAGCAGUUUACAAUCAAAGAAUUGGUGGAGUUCAGAGAUGUGACUGUGAUGUGUAGCCAUGCUUGAAGCGAAUAGGCCAGUAAGCAAAGACACUUGAAAAGGCCAGAUUUCUCAACAUGGUACGUACCACAGUCGUGUGUUUGAAAUUUGCCCAAAGUUGGUUGCUUGGGUAUCAUAGAUUGGAAAACCUAUGUGAGUUGUCCAAUCUCUCCCCAUCUUCCAGGCCAAAAAAAGCAAAACAAAUAAGAGCACUUGUUUUAUUAGUAUCAAUUGUGAACGCUAAUCGGGUGACAUCACCUCCUCCUCUCAUCAUCUGGACUAGUGUAGUUUGCCGAGCUGGCGUCAUCCGAGAACAGGGGAGAGAAGGGGGCGUGACCGGAACUGGACUGGGAUUGUGGCUGUUCAUCUGCAUUGAACUCCCGAGUCCUAACAUGCCUCUCAUCCAGACGCUUUCUCCGUCCUGUUCUAGGAUUAAAGAUUAAACUCCUGGUCUUGGUUUUCUGUUUGGCUGGGGUCUUCAGCUCUAUGAGUGAAUAUAUGAGUGUGUGUGUGUGUGUGUGAGAGUGUGUUUGUUUGUCUCUGUGUUAGUGAGGGCGAGUGUCUUCAUUCUUGCCCACAAUGAUAUGCAAAGUGUAAUGUUUGAGAAUUGUCGAAAAAGGAAAAAAAAAAGAUUUAAAAAAAUAUUCAGGGUGCCUGUGCUGAAAAGAAAUUUGAAAUGGGAAUCACUUGAUAAUCAUCCAAACAUGUAUGAAUAACGUUCUUGCAUUUUUUCCUUUAUCUCCCCACUCUUAAAUUUUGUGCCAUGUUUUGACUGUUAAAACGUUUUAAUUAAAAAUGUCAUCUUCGUGUCA